CUCUGCUCUGCUGUGAUGCUGAUGUUUUCCAUACGUGAAGAUUUGCUGAAGCUACAAAGUCUCUGUGACUGGAUGUGAAUUCAGCAGUUGAACAUCUUCCAUGUAGUAGUGAGUGAGUGCAUCAGUGCUAUGGAUCAGAGUGAGGACAGAGAGAAGGGAGUCCUCUUUAAAAGCUCUCUGUGUGGGGAACAUGACAGCCAGACCAAAGCUCAGAGGAUGCAGCAGCAGAGAGCAGACUCUCCUGAACCCAGCUGUGUGUCCAUGAAGAGUGAUGACUCUAUGGAUCAUCCUAUUAACAUUAAAGAUGGACAACCUGCUGAU